UUCGCUCGCCCGCUUUCCGUCGCGGGUGUCUCUCCUAAAAACUUCCUCUUCUCCCUAAACAACCAAGUGCCACAUGUUGCCAUAUCAUUUUUUUGAUUGGCUGACAUGGUAAACUCUAACAGGAAGGGGUGUUUUUUCUCUUUCUUUUUUCACUCGCAAGCGGAGAGUGUUUGCUAGCGCUGUCUGUAGAAAACCCCGUUUUACCUUCUUCCCGCUGUAAACACUACUGUUUUGUUCAGAAAAAAAACAUCGCGUGUAUUUUUUAUCAUAACCCUGGUUUUACGUGGCCCAUCGACACAAUUCAAAAACUGGUAUAUAGUUUGAAGUCUGCACUUUCGACCCAAGAAUGGACUCUGGAGGAUGUCACCAGUAAAGUCACAGCAGAAUGUCAACGUGCUGCCCACAAUGUCAUUGUCAUGCAUUACAAGUGUGACCUGAUCAAAGAGAAGGACAUCCAAGUUCACAGCAAUCGAAAAGCAGCACAAAGGUGUGCACUUGUGCUGCAACACAAUCACUGUUACGUGGAAAAACCAGGAUUGAAAUGCAGGUAAGAGGUCAAAGUUUUAGCAGUUUUGCUGCUUGAUCUGCAGUAGAGUAAAUGGACAAAGAACCAAUAUUUCUUUACAGCACUUAAGUUGACUUUUUUAUUUGUACUGGCAACUUUUUACUUUUACUCCUGUCAUCCUAACACAACUCUUUCUGACAUUUUCAAAAAAGGCUCAUGACUUUAGGUUUAACAAAUCUGAGGGGACCUAAUAUUUCCUGUUGUCACAGUCAGCAGGUGCAGGCUGUGUGGAGUGGAGAAUAGAGGACCCAAAUGCACACAAAACAAUGCUUGGAAAUGAACUUAAUAUUAACUGAACGCGAGCUAUUUAUUAAAGGCUGGUUUUAACUGGACAAAACAAGAAGCAACAGCAAAAUUAAACAUUAAGCUUCACUGGGUGAACUUGCCAAACAUAAAAAACCCUGAAGAUGGACAUAGACAUGGACAUGUAAAUGUAAAUCUGACAUAAAAAACCUAAAAUGUGAAGACUUGAGUGUAUGAAAAUCCAGGAAAACAUGGCACGAGCAUUGCAGAAUAGCUGAAGAUCAGACGAGGAAUGAAUGAAAACACACAGACUAAAUGUACACAGGAGGUGAUCAGGGGAAGUGGAAACACAUGGAGAAACAGCUGAUUAGAAUGAACAUAAUGGUGCCACAGGGGAAGUGAAACUAAACACAAUGAACAUGGGACACCAGAGCUCUUCAAAAUAAAACAGAAAACAAAACGGGACACAUACAUGACAUGAGCUUGACAACAUAGGACACGCAGAAAUGAAAUGUUACAGGUUAAGACACACAGACUUAAAAUGAUGAACCGACGAGAGAGACUUACACACAGGGAUUGAUAACACAAAGGGAGAUCUAAGAAACAAUGAACUAUAACAGCAACCUAAGCAUAAUAGAAGUGAGCUUAGAUAACUAAAUAAGACUUAAACAUAAACAAUGAAUAUCAUAAGAAAACUCCAAACAUUGGGUCAAAUAACCCAGGACCGUCACACCCGUCACUACACCCCUGAAAACAUCAAACUGAUUUUAAAUCUAAAUGGAGGGAACUACAAGUCAUUAACGACAGACCUAUUGGUGUAUCCAUCACUGCUAUUUGUCACAUUUGAAAAGAUGAAGAAAGCACAAAGAAAAAUCUAAUUUAUGAGUUAUAGCUCCAUACUGAAGGGUUAAAGUGGAGCAGAUCUAAUGUUGUGCAGAUUUCCCUAAGUUGUAGUUAUGACACUUCAAUAUGUAGCUAGUGUUGCAUAUGAGGAGUGGACACAAAGUGGCAAGUAGUUUUUCACAGUUCAACAAGUAUCAGCAAACACACAAAUUGUUUCUGUGCAGGUUGUUAAGUAGUGAGUCUAAAGAUCCAGCUGCUGUAUUUUCAUGGAGAGUAAAGAAUGUGAAAUAGUUUCAUUCAGAGAUGGAAAAAUAUGUGAGAAAGAGGAGAGGGGAGGAAUAAGAGAUGUUAUAUUUAAAGGUAACCACUCUCAGUGACACUUGAUAAACUAGAGAAUUUAAAGCUUGCAUUAAUUAAUUUUUCAGUUUACAUGAGGUUAUGCUAUGAAAAAUCUUGCUUAACAAACUAAAGUAUACUAAUGUUUGUUGUUCAGCGGGUGGUUGAGUGUACAUUUUCACAAUCUUACAAUGCUGAGAUUGCAACCAUUCCCCACCUCUCUUGAUUGGAGGCCAUGACAGUUUGCAUAUUAACAAUCAUGAAAAGGCAGCACAGUUGCUAGCACUUGCCUCAUAGCAAGAAGGCUUCAAAUCCAGCAUCUGGUGGAUAUCUGGUUGUCCUUGUGUCUGCUUGUGAGACACUUCAACAACAUGCAGUGGUGAGGUUAAUUUGUGAUUUCA